CCCAGAAGCAUGUCCUACACUGGUGACGGCAGAGGAGGAAGAUGAGCCUGAAAAUGAAGAUGACAGUGAUGCAUAUGCUACAUCAGCCCUAAGUCCGGAGGAGAGACAAGAGGAGGAGGCGGAAAGUGAAUCUGAAACAGACAGUGGCACUGAAUAUGCAGCCACAGCAGAGGAUGAGGUGGAAAAAAAAGAAACGGUUGAAAUAGGGACACAAACAGAGCCCUCAGUUACACAAUUCAGGGACCUUCGUCAGGC